rnacentral:rRNA from 1 species
UGACAGUACUCCUACGGGGAGGCAGCAGUGGGGGAAGUAUUGCACAAUGGGCGCAAGCCUGAUGCAGCCAUGCCGCGUGUGUGAAGAAGGACCUUCGGGUUGUUAAAGCACUUUCAGUCGUGAGGAAGGUAGUGUAGUUAAUAGCUGCAGUAUUUGACGUUAGCGACAGAAGAAGCACCGGCUAACUCCGUGCCAGCAGCCGCGGUAAUACGGAGGGUGCGAGCGUUAAUCGGAAUUACUGGGCGUAAAGCGCAUGCAGGUGGUUUGUUAAGUCAGAUGUGAAAGCCCGGGGCGUCAACCUCGGAAUAGCAUUUGAAACUGGCAGACUAGAGUACUGUAGAGGGGGGUAGGAAUUUCAGGUGUAGCGGUGAAAUGCGUAGAGAUCUGAAGGAAUACCGGUGGCGAAGGCGGCCCCCUCGGACAGAUACUGACACUCAGAUGCGAAAGCGUGGGGAGCAAACAGGAUUAGAUACCCUGGUAG